GUGCUCGCUUUGGCAGUACAUAUACUAAAAUUGGAAUGAUACAGAGAAGAUUAGCAUGGCCCCUGCACAAGGAUGACAUGCAAAUUCGUGAAGCAUUCCAUAUUUUU
ensembl:snRNA U6 U6 spliceosomal RNA